GACGAACGCUGGCGGCGUGCUUAACACAUGCAAGUCGAACGGAAAGGCCCUGCUUUUGUGGGGUGCUCGAGUGGCGAACGGGUGAGUAACACGUGAGUAACCUGCCCUUGACUUUGGGAUAACUUCAGGAAACUGGGGCUAAUACCGGAUAGGAGCUCCUGCUGCAUGGUGGGGGUUGGAAAGUUUCGGCGGUUGGGGAUGGACUCGCGGCUUAUCAGCUUGUUGGUGGGGUAGUGGCUUACCAAGGCUUUGACGGGUAGCCGGCCUGAGAGGGUGACCGGACACACUGGGACUGAGAUACGGCCCAGACUCCUACGCGAGGCAGCAGUGGGGAAUAUUGCACAAUGGGCGGAAGCCUGAUGCAGCAACGCCGCGUGCGGGAUGACGGCCUUCGGGUUGUAAACCGCUUUCGCCUGUGACGAAGCGUGAGUGACGGUAAUGGGUAAAGAAGCACCGGCUAACUACGUG
rnacentral:rRNA from 1 species